rnacentral:rRNA from 1 species
GACAGAGGGUGCAAACGUUGUUCGGAAUUACUGGGCGUAAAGCGUGCGCAGGCGGUUUGUUAAGACAGAUGUGAAAUCCCCGGGCUUAACCUGGGAACUGCAUUUGUGACUGGCAAGCUAGAGUAUGGCAGAGGGGGGUAGAAUUCCACGUGUAGCAGUGAAAUGCGUAGAGAUGUGGAGGAAUACCGAUGGCGAAGGCAGCCCCCUGGGCCAAUACUGACGCUCAUGCACGAAAGCGUGGGGAGCAAACAGG